rnacentral:rRNA from 1 species
CCUACGGGAGGCAGCAGUGGGGAAUAUUGGACAAUGGGGGAAACCCUUAUCCAGCGACGCCGCGUGAGGGAAGAAGGUUUUCGGAUUUUAAACCUCUGUCAGUGGGGACGAUAAUGACGGUACCCACGGAGGAAGCCACGGCUAACUACGUGCCAGCAGCCGCGGUAAUACGUAGGUGGCAAGCGUUGUCCGGAAUUACUGGGUGUAAAGGGAGCGUAGGCGGGAUGUCAAGUCAGAAGUGAAAAUUAUGGGCUCAACUGAUAAACUGCUUUUGAUACUGAUAUUCUUGAGUGAAGGAGCGGGAAGAGGAAUGCAUAGUGGAGCGGGGAAAUGCGUAGAUAGUAGGAAGAACAACGAGGGCGAAGGCAGCUUGCUAAGCUACUACUGACGUUGAGGCACGAAAGCGUGGGGAGCAAACAGGAUUAGAGACCCUGGUAGUC